ACCAGUUCACCGAUUGCGGCUGAUUGCGGCAGCGCCCUUUGACGCUUAUACCAUAUUUGAAUAAAGAACAAGUGGAAUGAUUCAAAUUAUCUUUCGCAAUUAUUAAGAUAGAUUUUUAUAUACCCGUUCGAUACAAAAUAAUUUUUAAAAUAUAAAAAGUAUUUAUUUAACGUUGAUAAUUACUUAUAAUAAUAAAAAAGUUUUCAUUCAAUUAUCAAUUUAAACCGUUUGACAUAAACGUAGUACAGUGUUAGUUUGAAUAAAGUAUAUAAAAUGCUAACCCAUGGAGAAAGUUUCUGCGCGUCUAGCGUUGCGCAGGUAUUGACGUUAAUGUAGCAGCAAUGGCGGUUAUUUCAAAACACAUCCAUAUACGUACAAGAUUCGCAAAUUGUGAAAAGUUGAGCAAACAUUUACCAUUUUUGGUUUUAUAUGAAUUUAUUCAACACUGUGUUUUAAAUUACAAACAAUUCUUUAAGAUAAAAAACCAUUUUGUGCUAAAAUAAUAAAAUUGAUAGUAUACAUGUUACUUUACAAUAACCUCAUUCAUGUUCAAAAAAUUAUUCAUCCUGACAAGAUUAUUAUCCGCAUCAACGUAAUACUAUAAUUUUAAAUCGUAUGAUUCAAUAAAUUGAUUAUCCAAUGAAAAUCAUCCGCCUGUUAAGAUAUUAAAUAAUCGACAACAACAUUCCGAUUAUGACACAAUAUAACAGGAACAGUCUUCGGAACACGCCCAACAUUGUAAUCGAUAAGAAUUUCACGAAACACCCUCCACCGGUAUAACAUUGGGAUAAUUAACGCGAUAAAUCAAUUCUACUCAAGGUCGUGCAAAGACCGGUAAUCGGCGUAGACGGUUAAGAGUGGGGAAAUUCUGUGUGCAAGGUGGGAGCGUAUUGCGCAGGCCCGAGGUUCUCGGUCGGAAAAGACAGAGCGGCCAUCUCUGUCGUUCCUCGGUCGUGCAGUUUUGAUUAGAGAGCGUCUAUCGCACGUCGUAGCGCUCGUAGCGGCGACAGCCUCAAAAAUAGCUGAGGCCUCCUCGCAGGCUGGCACACUCCCAACGGUCUAUACUUGGACAUCCCUGCGCCAUGAUUAUUUAUAGUGAGCGCGAGCGCGGCCACUGGCCUUCCCGCGAACUAACUAACCGCCUCCAAAGACGAUCUGUCGCCCGUGACCUAGGCCCGCAUUAAUAACGAUUACACCCCUGCGCUCAGGAAUACGACAACUUAACCUCUUGCUCUUCUACAAUGAAUCCUCGUUUCGCUUUGUCUUUUUAUAUAUGCGACUUAUAAGUGGUUAAUAUAAAUAUAUAAAACAAAUAGUUUGAUUAAAGAUAAAUAACAAUUCAUGUUAAACGAAUGAUCAAGAUUCUUGAGGAUUGCAAAUAUUAUAGAUGUCGCUUUAAAAGUUUAUUUCUGUGUAACCGAACGAAAACCACUCUGGCUUACUUUCACGGCCACGAAAAAAGGCGAAUCGUUUUCCAUCCGCUCGGAUCAUAAUUUUAUGCCACACAACGGACUCGUGUUGGCGAAAGAAUCUUCGUGUGAAAGCUUCUCGAAAAAAAAAGAAGAAAAAAGAGUGAAAAUAAAGAAGAGCAAAACGCAACAUGGAAUCGAUCCUCGAGAAUACAGGAAAAAUUUCUAUAAUAUCAAUUUCACGCGCGAAAUUUGGAUGCCCACGAAUGUCACUGUUUCUAAUAAUAACGAAAACAAAGCGAGCCUCUUGAUGCUCGUCCAGAAAGCUAUAAUAUAUCGCAUCGAUCCUCACGAACGUUUUAUUCGAUGCGGAGGAAAUUCGUGUCUCAUCCGUUUGGAAAACUUGGAUCGUUUGAAUCAGGGAGAGGAAAGUAUACGCGAACUAGUUUCUAAGAAAUAUACACGUUUACGAGUUACUUGGUCGGGGAAAUACUAUAAACUUAGGGUGAAAUCUUUUAAACUGGAAACUUUUAACGAUUCAAUAACACUGGUUAUGGUAAUCUUGGAAUGAUAUCGAGCAACAUAAAUUUGGAAAAAAAUGUGCUAAUAGAUUAGAUAUGAUAUAAGACAGGAAGUUUGUAUCAACUUCUCGUUUAAAUCAAUCGUGAAUUGGCAGGAAGAGUCGAUAUUUUUAAAUGAAGAUAUUAAUAGUAGAUAGUCUAUUUAUAUACAAUUAUUUUUCUCAGACAGGAGAAAUAUAAAUUUCCUAUUGUUCUUACUUUCAUUUCUUCCUUUCUAUCAUCUCAACUCACAAGAAUAAGAAUGUCGAAUGAAAAUGGAAAAAGCUUUCAGCAAAAAUAAAAAUUAUAGCUCAAUCAUUCAAAUUUGCACAUUAGAAGUUCUCGAAUCUCCAACCCCAUCAUCCCAAAACUCAUUGGCUAUAAACGUAACCCGGAACCCAUGCCAACUUUGCAUCGCAACACGACGCGUUCGUUUCACCCCAACGUGGCUGUCAUCGGUUUCGAAACUUCCGCUCGCAUUCUGCGAGCUAAAGUUUUUCGCCAAAGUGCCGAAAUUAGGUCGAUUUCGGUAUCGGUAAUGAUCGCAGAACAAGCGUCACAAUCGAGACGAUCCAUCCUGCUUGUUGGCAACCCGUGCUAAUGGCUCGUGCCCGCAAUUAGGGGCUCGUGUUUCCUCAAAAGAGCGCGUAACGAGUCUACAAAGCUGGCAUUUUCAGCUAGACGGCGCGGGAUCCGCGACAUCGUGCAUAAAGGAGUUCGAAAGAAGCGGCGGUCGGUUUCCAGGAAAACGCGUUUAAUACACUUUGAACCAGUUACCAUCAAUUAACGUGACUUUACCGUGAGACGUAAAUGACCUACUGUGUUAAUUGACGCGGUUUUCAGUUGAAUAUGGGUAUAAAGGUUGCAUAAAGUGUACGUUUGUUGAAAGGAAAAGUACUUGCUUUUGUGUAGCCUUUGAGCUGGAUGUAGUUUUUAUUUUCUCUUUGAGUUCUCUGUUUCUUUAUUUAAAAGAAGAGUAAAAGAUCCAUAUUAAGUAAAAAUAAGUAGAAAAAUACAAAUAAAUAAUUUGAUAAUUAAGAUUGAUAGUGGGAAAAAAUUGAAUAGAAAAGUAUUCUAUAGAUUUUUGCCCCAAAUUUUGCACGAAUGUAGUUAAUCAAGUUUAAUAAAGCUCAAUAUACAAUGAAUGUAAUUUUAAAUAGCUCUAAAAUUGCCGGGCAAACAAUAAAUUGAUUCAGGAUCUUCAGAUUUAUUAGAUAUAAAUUAUAUUUAUAAUUUCAGGUUUAUAAAGAUUUUUCUGAAAGUACACAUCUCGAUACACCUCUCAGGAAUCUUUCUCAGGAAUCAAGAUUGUCGUACAAUUUCUCAAAAGGACGUUGAAUUUUUAUUAAAGUUUAUCUCAAGGAAAUCAUAGUUAUUAAGUCAAUAAAAUGGCUCCAUUAGAUUUCUUCUUCAUAAGAGAGAAUCUCGUGAGAGAAUCUUAAAUGAUACAACUAUUCAUCCAUUCUAUUAUAUUCUAUUAUACACACUUCAAAUUAUAAAAUGCACCGACUACGAAACGUUAAUGCUUUAAGAGAUUAAUAAUUCGCUCUAUGACUCUCAACUUUUUUUGAAUACAAAGUUAUUAACGCUCAAUUAACAAAAUUAAUCGGCGAUUAUCGAUAAAAGGAGCAACAAGAAUCGAGAUAAAAUAUAUCAGUGAGAUGAUACUUCACAAAGAUUUCGCAUGUAUUACUCGCAUGAGUUAUUGAGGAUCAAUGAUAUCCUUGGGAACGAUCACUAAGCACAAUUAUUCGUCACCCACGCGUAAUGUAUUUGCAAGUCAAUUUAAAAUACAUCGAAAUAGAACGACAAGGUUUAUCUAAAAAAUCGAAAAAAGAAAAAUCGUGUUAACUAUUUUAUUUUUACGAAUAUGUGCGUAAUUUACGAUAUGGCUAUGUAAAUAUUAGAUAAAUACUAGAUAAUGUUAUAGAUUAUCAAUCCAUAUCGAUUACGAAAUAUUGAUUUGACGAAAUUGAUAAUAAAUUGAUAAAUAAAUACUUUUUAUUUAUAAUAAAAAAAAAAUCACGUAAUCGCUAGUUUUAUUUCACCAUUUCUCAACUCAAGGAAAUACUAGUCAUCUAGAUUUGUUGUCUUCCGCGUACUUUCCUCCUCGAUUAAAAUUAGAGUAAUUUAAUGUUAAUAUCUCGAGUAUACGUCGUUCCGUUAUUCUCUAAGGAAUCGUCUGAGAGUUUCGCGACAUGCAAUCAUGAUUUCUCCGUGCGUUGCGUAGCACGCGACCGGAUCGACUUAGAUUUCUAUGCGUAGAAACUCGAAUCCUUUCGUGUCUUUCUCCAUAACAGAUUCUCAGCUGUAGCAAAGAUUAAGUUCGAUCUCCCCCCGCGAAAAGUUGGCUGGAGAUGUGACCAAAUACAGAAAAAAGGAGUCUUCCUGUUCCCGUCACUUUUAAUCUCUUUUCCUAAUUUCUUUGCAAGAAUCCUCAUUUUUAGUGGAAAGUGGAAAGUUAUUCUCGAUCCAAAAUGAACGUCUAAAAAUCAAGCAUCGUACCACCGAUUCAAUUUUAAUUUUCGAAUCAUUUAAUUUGUUUGAUUUGUUCGCUCGAAGAGAAAAAAAUCAAUUUCCGAUCUCUGAUCUCGAAACGUUGUCUCGAACCAAUUCCAAUUUCAAUUAUUCAAAUAUCUACAUCUGUUGGCAAAUCAAUUUCAAAAUCAAUCUAACCAAGAAAAAAAGAAAGAGAGAGAGAGAGAGAAUCGAAACUCGUCUCUAAUUUCAAAGCGCCAUCGGCCAUUUCAGAAUUGUUGUUAUGCAACAACAAGGGUGAUAGAAUCGAUCGAGCACUGUGCUACCUGUUGUUUCGCGUGAGAUAGAUAACGGCUAAACUGUUGCCCGGUUGGAAAUAGCUCAUCCUGCAACAGGAACCGUUGUUGCAUCCGUCACGGGCGCGUGGAUUUUAACGACCGUUACUCUGCAAACGAAGCUCGAAGAUCGCUACAAGCGUUCGAGCGUUUUAUCGAAAGAUGGAUACGCGAUCAUCGUGUAUCAUUUCCUUUUCCUCGUCUUCUUUUUUUUCUUUCUCUUCGGGCGAUCUUCUAAUUGGUUUUGACUUUGAAAAAGUUAAUUGGCUCGUUAAUUGCAGCCUCGUGGUCAAUUAAUUAUAACGUUUCAUUCCAGCAGGAAUACGCUUGCUCGAUGACGAGGAUGAAAAAUGGCGUUUUAGAGUCUUUUUUUAUUUCUUCUUUGAAUAUUUGAACGAUAAUGAACGAAUCGAUUGAAGAAAUUUAUAUAAGAUUUAAGAUAUGGCUUUAUUCGUUUAUGUUGAAAAAUAGAAGAGGGGGUAUAUAGUUUGGAUUUUCUCGAGUUUUAUUUUAUAUCGAAAGAUUUUUGAAUAUUCUAAAAUAUCUUUAGAGAUUUAAUUGUAAUAGGAAAAAAAUUAGAUUAUUUUUCCGGGUGAAAUAUAUUUAUAAUCAGAUUCUUUGAGCCUUAUUUCUCAAAAAAGAAAUUUCAACAAAAGUUUAAAUAUACUCUCAGAAUUAAUAAAAUUGAUUAAUGAAUGGGAAUUUGGGAUAUUUCCAGAUUAAAAGAUGAAAAUCGUAUUUCUGACGGAAUUAAUGACAGGAUUAAGUGCAAUUAAUAUAAUUUUUGGGAACAAGAAUCGAUUUCCGGUCAAAAGGAUUCUGAUUGGCGACAGGCCAACAAUUCCGACUUGAGCAUACAUACAUUUGGCCUGUAUGCAAAGGUCGUAAUCGUGAAAGUAUAUUUCUUUCGAGAUCUGGGCCAUCGUGUCGAGUUUUCGAUUUACCAGCAAUUCAAAAAAAAAGAAAAAAAACUAAAAUUCUAAAUGUUUUUUCUCUUUUUUUCAAACAACGCGGUGAUGAUCGUGCGUGCGCAAUGGCGCGAAAACAGUUGGAAUUUUGAAUAUUACUUUUCAAAUUCGACAUUUUAACCAUUUAGAUUUUCUAAAAUUAUUUCUUAAAUCAAGUUUCCUAAUUCUUUGACAUUCCGAUGAUCCAUAUAUCUGAUAAUUUCUGAUUUUUUGAAAGUAAAUAAAAUUGAAUCGAAAAAUUCAAUUGGUGGAAAAUACAAUAAAAUAAUUUUCAGUUUUAAGAAAAUAUAAUAAAUAGUAAAUAAUAGUAGAUUAAAUAGUAAAUAAUAUAAUGCCUCUCGGUGAAAGAAAUAGAAAGGAAUUUUCCAAUGAUAUAAUUGGUUUUACUAAUUCUCAUUAAGUCAUACGUUCUCCUUGGUCACGUCUAUUAACGUGUUUUAUGGGCGGAAGUGUGUCGCCUUAAAUACUUUAAUCGAAAGUUGGAACGAUUAGUCGCAAGAAAAAUACUUGUGAAACAUUUUUCUUCUUCGACGAAAUAACUUUAGAUCAUUAUCAAUUAUUAUGUAUGAUUAAAGUAUCUUAUGUUGGAAUUUUUUCACGACGAACAAAAUUUGUUUAAUCGUUGAUAUUUAUUAAUAUUCAUUUAAAAAAAAGAACGAAAAUAUCGAAGAUGAUUUUGUGAAUGACAUAAAAAUUAAAGGUUGAUGAUAUUGAGCUUAUUGAAUCUUAAAAUCUUAUGUCAUUUUAUCAUCAGUAUUUAAUGGAUUAACCCGCAAUAAUCUUCCAUAAAUAUCGGAAAGUAAACAAGUAUUUCAGAUAAUAAUGUCAGGCAGGCAUCAUUUCCUUUGAAAAAUAAAAUCGACGAUAUUCUCGCGAGGAAAAUUUUUUUAAAAAACAAUCACACUACGAUAUUUUUCAUCUAUUCAUUGUUCAAUUUUUUAACGGAUAUAUCAGACAUAACUUUAUCAAAAAUCAUCCAUCUUUCGAUAACUCAAUUGCAACAGUUAAUUUUUUCUUAAAUUACAGAUAACCGAUAAUUUAUUUAAUCUUCUUCGAUAUUCUCCAUCACAACUUUUCCUAGUUCUACACCUUUUCUCUUCUUUAAUUCCCCACAUUUAUACCACAUCCAUCGUGACAAAAGAAGACUCUGUACACGUAAAAUAUCCCUAAUCUAUUCAUCACCAUCACCCACGAGCGAGAGUUCAUUAGCCAGGACCAAGUCGGUUGUCGUAGGUCAGCGAUGCUCGACACGAUCUUCCGGCAUCGCUACGUGACAUACACCCAUGCCAGAGAGUUGAGGGUGUGCACGUUUUAUCGUGGAUCAUGGAUCGGUACACGGUGCGUAUCGAGGCGAGCCGUAGAACGCGGAAAAUACUCGUUUCGGUUAAUAAUAACACGCGGUUGACUCGUCCAACUGCGGAAAUUAAAUAAACGAAAAUCCUCACCACAGUGGAGAGGCCACAAAGCGUUUCGAGGCGUUUGUUGCAAUAUGAUUAAUCGCGAGCUAUUUUGUCUCGUAGAUCGCUGCGAUAACCGCGAAAGCGGAUGAGAUUGGAUCGAACAUUGCAUUGUUAAUUAGCGAGCCUCAAGGUUUCUUUUAUAUAGGUGUUGAACGUAACUAUGUUUGAGUAAUUAAUUGAAAAUAGAAUGGAAAAUUGUGUUUUUAGGGAAGGGGAGGGAUUGAAUGAGAUAUUUUGUCUUUUCUUUUUUUUUUUGGAAGCGUGAUCUAUCAUGGAAAUUAAGGUAUGGAAAAUAUUUUUGAAAUAUCUGUGAGAUGAAGUUUAUUGUGACGUUUGGUAUAAAAAGAAUAGAAGAAAUUGAAUAUUUAUGAAAUAAUUGUUCCGAAGAAAUAGAAAAGAAUGCAAUAUCCGAAGGCAUAAUAAAGAAUAUUUAAUAGUGAAGAGAAAAAAGAAUGAAAAGAAAAGACAUUCCUUGAUUGUUAUCUCUCUAAUUUACAUAAAUAUUUGCGAAACUUGGUGGUAAAGAGUCAAAAAAUAAACGAAACGCGUAGUUAAAAAUAAACACUUAGAAAGCUUAGUCAUUUUUUCGCAUUAUGAUAAUUAUUUGCGAAAAAAUAUUCAGUGAAUAUUUAACAACGAUGACGUCAGAAUUCUUUUUUCUUCCUUUUUCUAAUCUAUAUACGUAAUAAUUUAUAAAACUCUUCCUUUUUACAAUAUCCUACGAUAUUUGAUAAAUACUUACAAAUAUUUAUCAACGAUGAAAAAUUUAAAUAUAAAAAUAAAUCUAAAAGAAAUAUAUCAUACAUUAUAUUAUAAACGUUAUUGAACGCGAUAUGGGACGAUAUAUAACGUAAUUAUGAAUAUAAUGGGGAGCCAAAUCCUCAUUGUACGAAAUCUGUUGUUUAAAUAUUGGCCUAAUCGAAUAUCUUUAUCGUUCGUGCAUUCUAUUAAGAUCUCUAUAAUAUUACGGUUUAUUUGCUUUAAUUAACUAUUAUUCCUAUUAUUAAUACGAAUAAUAGAUAUUCUAUUACUACGCGAAUAUUUCACGAAUGAUUAAAAUUUCAACGCGUACACACGAUGAAUCUUGUGAAUUGAUAUCCCGAUUUAUAUGUACGUCGCAAUACAAAUGAAUAUUCUGAUAAUGGAAUAAACGAGUAUUUCGAAAUAAAAUAAUAUCGAUGAUACUUAUUCGAAGAAAAUAAUUCGAUCCUACCCUUUCGAUCAUUCUUCAUUCAGAAUUAUUAAUUUUGAAUUCUAUUUUUUUUCCAUUAAUGGCAAAAUUGCAAAUGAUUUUCCUGUACUGUAUAUAUUUUUCACGGAAAAACAAUCGAAAGAUUUUUCUCAAAAUUAAAAUAUAAUCCACAAGAAUUUCUCCUCUUUUUAAAAUACAUGAACAAAAUCUUCUUCCUAAUCUUCCUAUCACGAUCUUUCUCGAUGUAUAAUAAACACAAGGACUCAUAAUAAACAUAAUACUCACAUCAAAGUGUUCCAGGUAUCCCAAAGAUGAAAUAAAUAUCGACACCGAAUAGAGUCAGAUUAGAGGGAAGACACGCAGGAAUGGCACGCGAACCAAGACGAGGCCUCUGGAGCUGGAGCGCUACUAAACAACUGACUUUUAUGCUGGAAGCUCGAUGAGAGGACCGAGGCAAGAGCAUCGGUAGUAGUGGUAUUGUGCGCGACACGUUCGCUAGGGAAGUGUACGAACCGGCAACGAAUUCGUUCAAAACGACUUUCACUGGCCCCGUAUACGUACGCGAACAAACCUUGCUUUUCUUGCUGCCUUGGGCACCGUUUUCACUCGGAAAAAACGCAACCUGUGGUAAUCGUUACCAGGGGCCGCAAUUAAGAACAUCCGCCAUUGAGACCAGCUUAACCCGUUUUCGCGGCAAUUUGCAUUUAACAGCGCGGCUGCUGUGCCAAUUGUCAUGGAACGUGGACCUACGUGUAUGCUAAUUUUCAUUUCGUUGUAAAUCUAUUAAUGCGCGGAUGACUUUUAGAGAGGGUUGCUUUGAAGGUUGAAAGGUUUUUUUGAGUCGAUUUGCUUUGAACGCGUUGGAAGGAUUUUUAAGCCGGUGUAUGCCCCGGUUUGAGCAGGAUAAAUGCGGGUUUUUUUUGACGUUGGCUUCAAGGUAGAUGUGCACGAAGAGGAAUUAUGUAAGGGUGGUUUUAUUUUUGUUUGGUUUGUGAAAUAAAUUAAAAGAAUCGUUUGCUCUGUUUUCUUUUAUAAUAAACGAAUUAUAUAUAAUAAUUAUUCAAUCUGUCCAGUUUACAUUUUGAAUAAAACUUAAAUUUAUUUAUUUCUGACAUGAAAUGUAAGCAUAAAAUGGAUAGUUAAAUAAUCUUAAUGGAUUCUUGACGUAAACCACCAGCAGCUAUUAGUCUUAUCUAAUGAGCUUUCACUUUAAAACAAAAACGAAGUUGUUCUAAACUAUGUUUUGUACAUACAACGAUAUAAAUUCGCAAUAUUUCUUCCUUUUUCUUUUUAACGAAAUAAAUCUUUCUCGAAGGAUCAAAGGACGAAAGAAUUAAUGAUCAAGAAACGAAUCGAUCAAUUAGUUAAGAAAGGUAAAAAUAUCAAGAUAUUUUAAUCAAUCAAAAACAAAUAUUCUCAAAACGCUUAGCUCUCCUCGAUAUCUCGAAUCUUUAUUUUAUCUCUCAUUAUAAAAAAGAAAAUAAUACCUCGCGAAACAAUCAACUUCACAGCCCAUAAAAUACCGCAUAAACAAUAAACGAACAAGUAACGAGCAAAUAAUCAGGGAAACAAAAUGUCGAACAGCGCAAAUCCCUGUCAUCAAUCAAAAGUGACGCAACGAGACGUGUUAAUCUAAAGAAGAAUAUUGCCGCGAGAUGCAAACGAGAGAAAAUACGAUACUUACAGAGAUGCGUUCGCAACAUUUCGUUUCCAUUAUUCCUAUUCCUUACUGCAAGUAUGUAGACGCGAUGAGAUCACUUCUCGAGUCUUCGAGGUGAUAUCAUUCGAGAUCCAGGCAACCGGGUUGUAACGAUUUGUUUACAAGCUUGAAAUAAUAUCAACGAGAGUAUUAUUAUUCUCGUUGCGUUUUACUACUCUUAUUCACGGCGAUGGAUCAACGACAAUGUUGCCGCCAGUGCUUCGUGCGCGGCCAUUUAAGAUAGAAAUAAAAAAAUUCGGGUAUUUCGAAUCGUCGACGAGAUUGUCGCUCUCGUUGUUGUUUCGAAAUGCAGAUUUCCCUGAUGACAGCUUUCGAUGAUAGUUGUUUAUAAUACGGCUCGCUUAUUAGCAUAGAGAUUAUGUAUUUAAUGCGGGGCAGGGGGAAACAUUGGAUGGAUAUCGAAAGAAUUUCGAGUAAAAUUGUCUUUCGUAUGUUUUUGUAAUUAGAUCGGGAAGAAUUGAGUGGGAAAUUUAAAAGGAAUUGGAAAGAAUUUAUGGAAUCGUGUAUAACGAUACGCGAAGAGGAAUAGAAAUAUUCGAGAAACGGAUUUUUAUCUCAAUUUUCCCGUUUCUAUCAUCCUGUAUCGAUUACAUCGAGAAGGUUUCUCGAGAAAUUAUUACAUAUAUGAUAAAUUACUAUUUUCUGUGGUGCGAUUUAUGUUUCAAAACUUGACGUUUAUCGCUUAAUUCGUGAAUGUGUCGCGAAAAACGGUAUGCGAAAAACGUGGAAACGAUUUAUCUACUUAUAAUAUUAUUUAUAAACGACAUUAGCGUUUGGGAAGAGUGCAUUAACUCAAUAAAUCUAUUAUUAGUAUCUAAUCGCGUAAACAGAGAACGAAAUUAAACGUUUGAAGGAUGGCCAAAUGAAGAUACCGCAAAGUGUAAUGACAAAUGGCUGUCUUCGAUUUGUUUAACAAACAACGGAAUAAACGCAUCAAAAUAUAUAAAAUAUUCUUACUUAUCUAAUUCAAUUCUCGUGCCACUUGAACAAAUUUAUCAAAAAUUUAAAAGGAUAUAACAAGUGAAUCCAGUUCGAGUAUCGAUGUACAAUUUUCACCAGAACUCUUCUGUUCUUCCCCUCCAUAGGAAAAUGGAAAAUGGUCGAAACAUGGAUGAACAAUUUGCAAUUGCAAACGUGAGAAUCGGGUUGGCUAAGGCCGAUUCCAAAUAAACGAGAGAAAGAGAUGCAGAAGUGAAAGAGGGGCAUUGUCCGAGGUGAAUUUUCAAGAAAUUUCUCUUUGCUCCAUCGUGAAAAAUCGUGGAACUCACAUUGGAGUUGAACAAGCGUUUCAUUCAGGCGCGCGCGCAUUUUUAAAAAUAUUUUUAACGAGAUUUUUUUUUUUUUUUUACUUAUUUCCACCCACGAUCGGUUGCUUCGCGAUGGUAAAUUAUAGCCACAGGCUGAAAUGUCAUUUUAAAUGCCGUCGUUUAUUCGCGUCGAUGACAGCUAAUAACAAGUAUUACGUUUCGCGGAAGAAAAGGCUGGAUUGCAUGAAGGGCUUUAUUGAAGUUGGAUGGAUGGAAGCAAGUGUUAGAGAUACAGAGAUAAUAUUUUCUUCUUCGUGCAAAUAUUAUAUAUUUGUCGAACGAAAAUUCGAUGAGGUAAGAAGAGACGAGAGAUUUAUAAAGUAUUAAAUUAACUCGUUUUAUUACAUUUAAAUUGUAUGACGCAGUUUAUCUAUAAAUAGAGUUAUUUUCAAUAGUUUCUUUCGAAUUAUAAUUAUUCAGGAUGAUUGUAACGCGAUAAAAACACUUUCAGAAAAUAAUUCUAUUCUUGAAUGAGAAGUUUGUUGAUUAAGAUUCAAUAAAGGAAGAGUUAAAAAUAGAGGAGACAAGAAGCCUAUGAAGUGCAAAAUUAACUCGUCCAUUUAUUUAUAUUCAUUGUUAACGUUCAUUGUAUAACUUCAAUGAUAUCUUUUAAUAGUUCCAUUAUGCAUACAAUAUAUAUAUAUUGUUUUUUUUAAAAAUAUUUAUAUAACAUUCGAAGAUCAUAUACAAAUUUAUUAAACCUGAUUAAAAAUUGAACUGUAUUUCAUUAGUAUUAUUAUCGGAAACCGUGGGCGAAAUUUAAAAUUAAUUAACCGAAUAUAUGUAUGUAUUUAUUCGUGAAAUUUAUUCAUGGAGUGAGUUUCAUCAUUCUUAAUACGCUUAUUGAUACGCAGAAAAUCACGCUCGAUUGAAAUUCAAUUGUCAUUCACUUCAUUUUGAAUAAAGAAGAUAUAAGUUUUUCAUUUUUAUAAUAUUCAAAGGAGAGAUUCGACGGAUGAAACUUUGUUAAUAAUUAACAAUAUAUAUAUGAUAAUUACAGAUUAAUCGUUUUAUCUUCCAAUUUAUAUUUAAAAUAUUUUAUCAUUACCACGUAUAACAACCGCGUUAUCAACAAUACGAUAUUUCAUUUCUAAAAAAGAAAACAAACAAACAAACGUUUCUUUACCACACCAACCAUGCAACAUUUAUUGUCAAGCCAUUUUCCAUGCAUUCCUGCGACAUAUUAUAUAGCAAUAAUAUAUCCCUGUUUUCCUUUCCUCGUAAAAGGAAAAAAGAGAAAAAAGAAAAAAGGAAAUAGCACCGUUUCCCAAUUCACGGCGCUUUUUUUUUUCUUUUUUACACGAAACACCAACCCGGCUCCAGAAUGCCGGUUAAUUAAUUGCACGUGGCAAUGCAAACAACAAUACGUCGUAACGAAACCGGAGGGAAAAGUACACGCGAGUGACCUUUUCACGAGUUAGUUUCCCACGCGUGGGUGGCAAACUGGUCCGGUGAUCGUGAUCACAGGCCGAGCAGAAGCUUGUGUGCCUGUUCAACGAUGAAAUUUAUCGGAACCAACGAGCCUCGAUUCGAUUCGAGCGAUUUAAAUGAUCGGGUAUCGUUUAAUCGAUCGAACGAGCCGGAGUUUGAUAAAAAAAUUUCGGUGCUUUAUUUCCCUUCUUUUUUUCUCCCCCCCUCUCUUUUCCUUUUUUUAAUUCACAGAAACUUGCGUGAAAAAGAAAAGGGAUGAAUUUUUCUCUCCUUCUUUUCUAUACGGACUUUGAAAUUUUCCAUUUAUUAUUGAAAUUCUGAAUAAUGGAAGAACUGCUUCUAAGAUGCGUUCAUAAAGGAAUAAAUUCGAUACUUUUAAAAGAGAUAUUAAAACGGUGCAGUUACGAAAGAGACUAAUAAAUACCUUUCCCCCGUCUAUUUCUCGAUAAUCGAGAUUUUACUCUUACAAAAGAAGAAAGUACAGGGAAGUAUUCCAAAUUGGAGAAGAUAAAUUUUGUAUAUAUUAUCGUGCAAUAACAAAAUCAAAAGAUCCUCUCUCAAAAAAAAAAAAAAUCUAUAAAUCUAUCGGUACGCAACAUAUUAUCCAUCUCACCGCAAAAUCAAACUUCUUCGACUCGGAUCACUGUGAAAAAAUCUCGAUACGUGACGAAUGAUCGAACGAUCGCGAGAAUCUAAUUGUCGCUCAGCCCACUCGACGACAUUAGACACUUUGGCCAAUGGAUUCUCAGGGUCUAUUAAUUUCGUCCACAAGGAAAGAGAGAGGGAGGGAAGCGACGUAGACGCAUAACGAAUGAGAUGGGUUCCGAGAUGGAUUUCGGCGGCGGAAUACGGAGCAAGGCUUUUCGCGUUCGAUACCCGUGCGUGUUCUUCAAUGCUAAGCUGAAAUGUGAAAAUACUGCGACACGGGCGUGCCAUUAACCCAAAAAUUCGAUCUCCGUCCGCGGACGUGGACGUGCGGCGGACAAACGAGGGAGAAAUGUCGAGUCGAAGGUGCAGCUUUCCAUCACCUGAGUCCUUUUCGUCCCGAUUGAAAUAUGAUACGGUGUGCGAGUGGAUCACAAAUCAGCAGGGGUCGGCAGGAGAGAAAUUUACAAGUUAUCUCUAAAUCACUCUUUUACGUUUACUUUACGUUUUUCGAUCAUUUUUAUUUUCGCGAAAUUUGGAAGGGUGAUUAAAUAAAAAUUAGCGUUCGAUAUUUGAUAAAUCCUCGACGCAUUUUAUUCGAAUUGAAACUUACUAUCGGUUAAAAAUUACCGUGAUUACCGCGAUAUCAAAGUGCGAUUGUUAAUUAUUAACAAUUGAAUUUUGCGUUCUUCUCGAAAAUAGAAUACACGAAUUAUAUUACGUUGGAUCGAUAUGGCAUAACAAUAAAGGUUUUAUAAGAUGAGUAUUUAAUACUAAUAAUAUCUCAUUUAAUAGUUAAUAGAAUGAAAUAUCGCGAAACAUCGGAACAUAGAAUAAUGAACGGAAUUGAAUUGGGAAACGGAUUCCAUUCGUGCGGGGGAACCGGAUUCGCGCGUGAAUUCCGCGGAUUUUUGGUUUCCUGCAAACUUCAAUUGGAUAUUUACACGAAUGAUUCUUUGGCAUCUCCUCUUGUAUAACCAUAUUUCCACUCGAAAUUUCGCUCAUCUCGAAACAUUUGUAAAAGAAAAUUUCAAUUGUUAAAAUUAUUUUCCAACCUUUAUUAAUUUCAAUCUCUAAAAAUAUACUCUAAAAACUAUUUAACAUACACUUUUACUCGAACGAGUCUCGUACCAAAUUUCGACCAAAUUUCCCACCGAUCCAAACGAGCAGGCAAAAAGAAAA